CCCUUAAAAAUAUUAAAGGUGAAACCUGCCCAAUGAUUUAAGAAUAUUCUAUAAUAAAAAAAAAAAACAAUUGAAUGGCUGCGGUAACUAUGACUGUAUGAAUGUAGCAUAAUAAUUCGCCACUUAAUUGGUGGAUAGUAUGAAUGGUUAAACGAAAAUUCCUCUGUCUUAUAAAAUAAAAAAGAAAUUUAAAUUAUAGUUAAGAUGCUAUAUAAAAUUACAAGACGAAAAGACCCUAUAAAGCUUAACUAUAUUUCUUCAAAAUUUACUAAAAAUAAGUAUAAAAAGAGGAUUUGGUAGUUUCAUUGGGGCGAUGGUCUCUAAAACAAAACAGAGAUACUCUACAUUAAUAAAAUAAUUUAUUGUAUAAUUAAUAAAUUUAACAAUUACAACGUAGGAUAUAACGACCCAUUAUCAUCAAAAAAAAGAUAUAAUGAUCUAUAAAUAAAAGCUACUUUAGGGAUAACAGGAUAAUUUUUUCUAAGAGCCCUUAUCGAAGAAAAAGUUUAUCACCUCGAUGUUGAAUUAAGAUAACCUAAUGACGCAGCCGUCAUUGAAGGUAGGUCUGUUCGACCUUAAAAAUCUUAC
rnacentral:rRNA from 1 species